rnacentral:rRNA from 1 species
AGUGGCGAUAGAGAGAAGGUUCCACCUGUUCCCAUCCCGAACACAGAAGUUAAGCUUCUCAUCGUCGAAAAUACUUGGCUGGCGACGGCCCGGGAAAAUAGAACACUGC